AGCAGUGGAUGCUGAGCUCCUCUGUAGCCAUUGGGAUCUCAGCAGGAGGAGUCUUGAGGCCACUAUCCAAACCUCUCAGCCUGGGCUUUGGUGAAAGCUGGCUUUCUCUUGGGAUUCCCACCCCAGGCUUGAUGGGUUGGAAAUGCUGCAAGAGCAGCCCUUUUUUUGUUGUAUUUGUUUUUAUUCUCCUGAUGUUUGUGUCUUUCCACUUCCGUCCCUGGCCAAGGCAAGUGAUGCCAAGGCACGAGAGGCAGAUACACCCAGCAUGGUUGGGAGGGGGAGGCCUUAACCCACAGGAAAAGGGAAACAGAAGGGAGAACCCAUAGCUGGCACCAAGGAGGCUUAACCCAUAGUCUGUUCUACCCAGCCAUGGUGACCACCAGGAUGCAAAGCCCCAGGGAUGCAUCUCGGCACCGUGUGGGACAAUGCCAGGGGUCUCAAUGCACAGAACCCCCCCUUCACCCCGCUUUGAGCUGCAAUAUGGUCACAAGCUGCCUUAGCAGGAAGGGAUCAAGCACUCAAAAGCAGCGCGGGAUCAAAGCUUUCUAAACACUCAGGGCAUUUGGCUUGGGAGGUUUUGUUCCGUCUAUUUAUAGCGGUGGGGCCAAACGAGUUCAGAGUUGGAAGCAAACUUUUCCGAAGCUGGGGGACGUUUGGAACGGGAGGGGGAAAGGGAACUCGGCCAGGCCCAUCUUCAACAUGCAUUGACUCCUUCCCUUAGGGCAAAGCUGGUGAGGAUUCCAGGGCAGAAAAGAAAGGCCAAGGGCAUCCUGAAGCAUGUGAUAAGCUUAUAAAUGGCGUUUGGCAGCCACGUGGUGAUCUGGGCAUGCAGAGAAGCAGUGCAUAACUUUGGGCAUCCCAACACAAGAGCUGAUAUUUGGCCCCUAUCCGGGAACACGGACCACCUCGCCAAGCUGUUGUUCCUAUUUGUCAUUCAGCGCGAAGGAAAUCUGCUCCAUUCUCUGUCAUCCUCCCCAUCCCAGAGGAUAAUUGAUGCUAACGUCAUUUCAGCUCGGUCCAGCUGCCAGGCUCGGGAACAGAUGUUUUAUUGUUCCAAUUGAGCACAAAACAAAAUGCAACCCCCCCAAAUAAAAUAAAAGCAGCACUGCUCAGCAAAUUUGUGCUUGUGGAGAGGUUAACCACAGCUUCCUCACCCCAGAAAUAACACACAGAGAGAACAGCAGCCCCAGGGAGGGCUUCUAUCAUUCCACUGGGUCAGCACCAAGAGGACCAAGCCACCACGUUCCCCACUUUGCUG